AGGGUUUGAUCCUGGCUCAGAACGAACGCUAGCGGCGUGUCUGAUUCAUGCAAGUCGAGCGAGAAAGUCCCCGCAAGGGGGCGAGUACAGCGGCGAACUGCCGAGUAAGACGCAGGUAACCUGCCCGUGAGACCGGGAUAACCCGCCGAAAGGCGGACUAAGACCGGAUAUUAUGCCGGGUCGCAUGGCGCGGCAUGAAAGGUUUGGAUCCUUCGGGACCUUCUGCUCACGGAUGGGCCUGUGGCCUAUUAGCUGGUUGGUAGGGUAACGGCCUACCAAGGCUGAGAUGGGUAGCCGACCUGAGAGGGUGGCCGGCCGGACUGGGACUGAGACACUGCCCAGACUCCUACGGGAGGCAGCAGAGGAGGAUCAUCCGCAAUGGGCGAAAGCCUGACGGUGCGACGCCGCGUGGGGGAAGAAGGCCUUCGGGUCGUAAACCCCUGUCAGAGGCCGCGAAUAGGUGGAGGGUGAACAGCCCUUCAUCUUGACUAGCCUCAGAGGAAGGGACGGCUAACUUCGUGCCAGCAGCAGCGGUAAUACGGAGGUCCCGAGCGUUGUUCGGAAUCACUGGGCGUAAAGGGCGUGUAGGCGGGCCUGCAAGUCAGGUGUGAAAUCCCCUUGGCUCAACCAGGGAAUGGUGCCUGAUACUGCGGGUCUGGAGUGUAGCAGAGGAGAGUGGAACUCCUGGUGGAGCGGUGAAAUGCGUAGAUAUCAGGAGGAACGCCGGAGGCGAAAGCGAUUCUCUGGGCUACUACUGACGCUGAGGCGCGAAAGCUAGGGGAGCAAACGGGAUUAGAUACCCCGGUAGUCCUAGCUGUAAACGAUGAGCACUAAGUAGAGGAAAUUCCGACGUUUUCUCUGCUGGAGCUAACGCGUUAAGUGCUCCGCCUGGGGACUACGGUCGCAAGACUAAAACUCAAAGGAAUUGACGGGGGCUCGCACAAGCGGUGGAGCAUGUGGCUCAAUUCGAGGCAACGCGAAGAACCUUAUCCUGGGCUUGACAUGCUCGUGGUACAAACCCGAAAGGGCGAGGACCUCUUCACAGAGGAGCGAGCACAGGUGCUGCAUGGCUGUCGUCAGCUCGUGUCGUGAGAUGUUGGGUUAAGUCCCGUAACGAGCGAAACCCUUGUCGCUAAUUGCCAGCGGGUAAUGCCGGGGACUCUAGCGAGACUGCCGGUGUCAAACCGGAGGAAGGUGGGGAUGACGUCAAGUCCUCAUGGCCCUUAUGCCCAGGGCUGCACACGUGCUGCAAUGGCCGGUACAAAGGGAAGCAAGACCGCGAGGUGGAGCGAAUCCCAAAAAACCGGUCCCAGUUCGGAUUGGAGGCUGCAACCCGUCUCCAUGAAGCCGGAAUCGCUAGUAAUCGCGGAUCAGCUACGCCGCGGUGAAUAUGUUCCCGAGCCUUGUACACACCGCCCGUCAAGUCAUGGAAGCUGGGGGUACCCGAAUUCGCCUACCUAACCCGCAAGGGACGGAGGCGCCGAAGGUAAACCUGGUGACUGGGACUAAGUCGGAACAAGGUA
rnacentral:rRNA from 1 species